GCAUAUCAAUAAGCGGAGGAAAAGAAACCAACAGGGAUUGCCUCAGUAACGGCGAGUGAAGCGGCAAAAGCUCAAAUUUGAAAUCUAGCACUUUCAGUGUUCGAGUUGUAAUUUGAAGAAGGUAACUUUGGUUUUGGCUCUUGUCUAUGUUCCUUGGAACAGGACGUCACAGAGGGUGAGAAUCCCGUGCGAUGAGAUGCCCAAUUCCAUGUAAAGUGCUUUCGAAGAGUCGAGUUGUUUGGGAAUGCAGCUCUAAGUGGGUGGUAAAUUCCAUCUAAAGCUAAAUAUUGGCGAGAGACCGAUAGCGAACAAGUACAGUGAUGGAAAGAUGAAAAGAACUUUGAAAAGAGAGUGAAAAAGUACGUGAAAUUGUUGAAAGGGAAGGGCUUGAGAUCAGACUUGGUAUUUUGCGUUCCCUUCCUUUUUGGUUGGGUUCCUCGCAGUUUACUGGGCCAGCAUCGGUUUGGAUGGUAGGAUAAUGACAUUGGAAUGUAGCUUUACUUCGGUGAAGUGUUAUAGACUUUGUUGAUACUGCCUAUCUAGACCGAGGACUGCGUCUUUGACUAGGAUGCUGGCGUAAUGAUCUUAAGCCGCCCGUCUUGAAACACGGACCAAGGAGUCUAACGUCUAUGCAAGUGUUUGGGUGUAAAACCCGUACGCGUAAUGAAAGUGAACGUAGGUGAGAGCCUUUUAGGUGCAUCAUCGACCGAUCCUGAUGUCUUCGGAUGGAUUUGAGUAAGAGCAUAGCUGUUGGGACCCGAAAGAUGGUGAACUAUGCCUGAAUAGGGUGAAGCCAGAGGAAACUCUGGUGGAGGCUCGUAGCGGUUCUGACGUGCAAAUCGAUCGUCGAAUUUGGGUAUAGGGGCGAAAGACUAAUCGAACCAUCUAGUAGCUGGUUCCUGCCGA
rnacentral:rRNA from 1 species